rnacentral:rRNA from 1 species
UUGCCUACGGGAGGCAGCAGUGAGGAAUAUUGGUCAAUGGGCGCGAGCCUGAACCAGCCAAGUCGCGUGAGGGAAUAAGGCCCUACGGGUCGUAAACCUCUUUUGCCGGGGAGCAAGGGCCGGGACGCGUCCCGGCCCGGAGAGUACCCGGAGAAAAAGCAUCGGCUAACUCCGUGCCAGCAGCCGCGGUAAUACGGAGGAUGCGAGCGUUAUCCGGAUUUAUUGGGUUUAAAGGGUGCGUAGGCGAGCUUUUAAGUCAGCGGUAAAAAUUCGGGGCUCAACCCCGU